rnacentral:lncRNA from 1 species
GGCGGGAGACGAUUGUUCUGCUGCAGGUACGUGAACAUGGUGUCUAGGUUGACACGCUAGCCUCCUCUAGCAGCCUCUCUGCCCCGCGCCAGCUCUAGCCCCUCGCUUGCUGCCUCCUGCGACGCUGGUGUUCAGCUCGCAUGCGAGGUGUUCUAGCAAUUGACCAAACCGAGCCAAGCGUGAGCAUGAACGAUGGUCACAUACUUUCCUUCGUCAAGUAGUCCAGUACUGCACCAGAAGCGACGUCGGCCGAAACAGGAGAGGAAGAGGCCACAGAAGGAUUCUUGCGUCCCAAAUGGUAUGUUCAUUUUUGCCAAUUCAUGAUCCAUCAUUACCUGACUCACGAUGUCCAGUGGACUCAGCUCACAGUGAUUGAUGAUUGAUCAAUAGCAACACGAUUUGAUUCUCAAUUUACAAGUUGAUUUCACCGCUAUGGAUUGGAUUAAUCUGAUUUUUGAUAUUUUGGUUUAGUGAGUUUCAGGUUCACGGUCUGGAUGGUGGAUUCGUUCUUCAGCUCCGGCGAGGUCAUCAUGUGCCGGUACAUCUCACCUUCAAGCACAUGUUGCAGACUCCGACUGGUGUGGCUCCGUCCCUUCCCAGUCCUAUUUUUCUUUACUCUCCCUUGGUUACUGUUUGCCUUAAUCUUGAUUUGUUUUGUUGGUUCAUGUUGUUCAUUAGUUCUUUCUUUGCUGGAUGUUCGGCCCGCUGAUGCUGCAUGGAAGCAUUCGAAGUGAAAAAUAUCUUCACAUACUUUCCUGUAAGUGCAUCUCCCCGUCUUAAUUUGGGUUGCUCUCACUGUCCCGCUUACCUGUUCUGCUUCGCCCAUCAUUCAGAGUUAGGUUGGUUCAUGAGAUCAGAUAAUGUACUGCCAUUUAUUUUACCCAACUGCUACAUUCAAGAUCGAGGAGUACAAGUGUCUAUUGAUCUGAACACAAAGUGUUACAAUAGAUUAUCUCUGCAAGUGGAUAAGGUGGUCAUAUGUUAGCCUACACUUUUGGACCAAAACAGUUUUACAUGGGCUUCUCCGGAGGAAAAGGAAACCCCACUUGAACUUUUAGCUUCCCGUAUAUGUGAGAUCACUUGCUGAGUUUUCCCACAUCAUAGCUUUUCUUGUGAAUUCAUGGGAUCUUAGAUUUUAAUCAAGUCAUGCAGUUCUGAGUUUUAAUUCAUGUGCAAUAGUCACAAACAGAUCUGUCUUGCAUUCAAAAUAUUGCAGGCUUGAACUUAUUUACAUUUCAGUUAAAUUUUGUUCACCAAUGUCAGCCAAUGUGAGAGCAAAGUUUUCCUCCGAUUAUUCUAAAUUAUCCUUGGACUAUUCUGAAUCUGUAAAUGGAUGUUGAAUUCUUAAUACAUCUAUGCCAUCUAUAGAAAACAAUGGCCUCGCGUGCCACUGUGCAGUGAACACUGAACAAGUCUCGAAUCAAUAUGCAUUUGCGAUUUGUGGUUCUGUCCUGUUUUAGUAGGGUUGUCUUCAAUAAUCUUUUGGUAAUUUUGUAGAUUAGGAAGUUUAAUUCUUUUCCGAUAAUAGUUUAAUAGUAGUCAAGAUAUGCUACUGCAUGUCCAUUUUACUGUAUAUAUCUGUUUUUACACUUCUAUUAUAGGUCUGGGAGUAUUAUGCCGAGCCUCCCCAGCAAGGUUUUCAAUAUUAAGGGGGAAAUCUGAAGGUGUAUAAGGUAAAGAGACAGAGCUCUAGAUACAUUUGGUAAUAAAUUUUCUUUAUACCUUGCAUUAUAAUUACACAUGGGAAAUACAGAUGAGGUGCCUGAUGUCAGCUGCAAUCACAGAUCUAAGAAUCAGCUUUUUAAAUGUAAUUGAUAAAAUGAUCAAUGAUUAAAUGCGUGACCCACUACGGAGAGAAAGUGUAAGAACGACACACCUAGGAUUAACCCUGACUGUUAUCAAGUUCAGGUAUUUCCAUUACUGUAUAGAUUCAAGCAGUGUGUUGUAGUUACCAUGACACAUAUCUUCACGAGAGAAGUUUUUGUUAAGCAGUAGCUUAGGAUAGCUUUUCUUCAGUAUGGUUCAGAUCACCAUUAUUGCAUGAAAUAUAUAAGAACAUACUCAUUACCUGUGUAAAAUCUUACAACAGAGAAAUAAUGUUUAUGCAGACUGAACUUGUUAUUCUGCGAACUUACGUUGACACAAACUAUUGACUGGGUCUCUGGCUUGGCGCUACCUGUAUGAGGUACACCCUUAUGGUGUUGUAGGUACCAUUUUUAUUGGCCUGCUGGUACAUAUUCAGUUAAUCACACAGAGUUAUUGGAAUAUAGGCAAGACUGUAGUAUGUGUUCAUCUGGAAGCCUAUAGACAGAAAUAUGUGUUCAUCUGGAAGCCUAUAGACAGAAAUAUGUGUUCAUCUGGAAGCCCAUACUAAACAAUAUUUUAGUGAUCUUGGAUGCUAUCACCUACAUAGACUAUUUUCCCGUAGUAGUGUGCUUCCAGUUUGUUUGGUUCAUGGACGGUCAGAUGGUAUUUCACGUAGCUCUUCCAGUUUGUUGGUUCAUGGAUGGCCAGAUGGUAUCUCGCCUAGCUAACCUGCUUUCAAGUAUCAGUUUGCUAAACCGGCAAAUGCUUAUUUUCGCUAGCACUAUAUAAUACAUCAAUUGGUUUCAUAUUGUUGAAAUUUGAAUAUCUGCAAAUUAGAAGAAUUGUCUUUUUUAUAGGAUGCCUAUUUUGUGUUGCAAAUUAGAAAUCUUUUCUAAUGUGGUGCAAAAUUUUGUGCUGUUCUUAUGGCCCAUGGUCCUACGUAAAGUAUUCCAAUACAUUUCCACAAAUCAGUUUUUAUUUUUAUUUUUCACGUAACAUGUUCAUGUCCAAUCAGGGAUGGGUUCAAGUGGUUCUGGGACAUGUAUAGAGAAGGAGCUCAUUAUAUAUGGAGACAAGUUUUGAAUUGGGGCGUGUUGCUUCCUACCUGAUGGUGUAGACGUUAGAUGAGGGAUCUCCAUAUAAGUAGAAUAUCACACAUAUGGAUGUUGUAUCUUGGAUGAUUCAUAGAAAAGAAGCCAAAGAACGAUUCAUCAGUUGCAUAUCUUUUUUACCUUCUACAUGUUAUUUUUUUCUCCAUAAGUUGGUCUGCACUUCAAAAAAGCUGAGAAUGUGACUAUAUGAGAAGCGUAAUUAAGUGUGUUCAAGAAGUAUAUGUAGGGGGGAAAAAUAGACUGCUGGGCGUAAAAACUCUCGAGCUGGCUCGAAG